rnacentral:tmRNA from 1 species
GGGCUUGUACUGGUUUCGACGGGGAUUUUGAACGCGAGGCAGCCAUCCGUGGCCCGGGACCACGUUAAAACCUGGAAUUAAAUAUAAUUGCUAACAAUAGAGUAGCACUCGCUGCCUAGUUGCAGCUAUCGGCCUCAGUAAGUCCGCAGACUGAGAUCCCGGUAUCGAUUAUGCGGAACCCUCAUGUCCUUAAGCUUUGCGGGAUGUGAAGUAUGAUGAAGCUACUGAAGUAAAGUGUUCGUCUUCUGACACUUUACGGAGGGAAUGAAACUCAGAAGACUGUGAUGGGAGACACCUUUCGGGAUGAGUUUUCGGACAGGGGUUCGAUUCCCCUCAGGUCCAU